GCGGGUGUGGCGGAAUUGGCAGACGCACUAGGAUGGAUCUAGCGCCUACGGCGUGGGGGGUUCAAGUCCCUUCACCCGCA
rnacentral:tRNA from 1 species